UACGAAGGGGGCUAGCGUUGCUCGGAAUCACUGGGCGUAAAGGGUGCGUAGGCGGGUUUUUAAGUCAGUGGUGAAAUCCUGGAGCUCAACUCCAGAACUGCCUUUGAUACUGAAGAUCUUGAGUCCGGGAGAGGUGAGUGGAACUGCGAGUGUAGAGGUGAAAUUCGUAGAUAUUCGCAAGAACACCAGUGGCGAAGGCGGCUCACUGGCCCGGUACUGACGCUGAGGCACGAAAGCGUGGGGAGCAAACAGG
rnacentral:rRNA from 1 species